ensembl:snoRNA SNORD93 small nucleolar RNA, C/D box 93
UGGCCAAGGAUGAGAACUCUAACCUGAUUGAAUACUUCUGCGCUGAUGGGUUAAAGGAUUUACCUGAGGCCA